AUCAGCAGCCAUAUCACCCUGCAACUCACAACUGGCAACCCACUGAAGCUAAGCAGGCGUGAGCCUGGUCAGUACCUGCAAGGGAGACCUCUUGGGAAAAACUAAGGCUGCUGCUGGAA
ensembl:rRNA 5S_rRNA 5S ribosomal RNA